rnacentral:rRNA from 1 species
GAUGAACGCUGGCGGCGUGCCUAAUACAUGCAAGUCGAGCGAGCAGACCAGGAGCUUGCUCCUCGGACGUUAGGGGCGGACGGGUGAGUAACACGUGUAUAACCCACCUAUAAGACUGGUAUCUCUUCGGAAAACCGGAGCAUAUAGGGGAGGAGAUAUUGAAGCACGGGGGGGAAUGGUGAAAGUCGGCUGUUCUGUCUCGUCUAGCGGGAUCCGCGCCGAAUGAGCUGGUUGGUGAGGUCAAGGGUUAACAAGGCAACGAUGCGUAAGCGAGCUGAGAGGGUGAUCGCCCACCUUGGAACUGAGACACGGUCCAGGCGACUAAGGUAGGCAGCAGUAGGGAACGGGCCGCAAUGGGCGAAAGCAUGACGGAGCAACGCCGAGUGAGUGAUGACGGCCUUCGGAGCGUAAAACUCUGUUAUUAGGGAAGAACAACUGUGUAAGUAACUAUGCACGUAUUGACGGUAAUUAGUCAGAAAGCACCGGCUAACUACGUG